GGGAAACUGGGUCUAAUACCGGAUAUGACUGAUCAUCGCAUGGUGGUUGGUGGAAAGCUUUUUGUGGUUUUGGAUGGACUCGCGGCCUAUCAGCUUGUUGGUGAGGUAAUGGCUUACCAAGGCGACGACGGGUAGCCGGCCUGAGAGGGUGACCGGCCACACUGGGACUGAGACACGGCCCAGACUCCUACGGGAGGCAGCAGUGGGGAAUAUUGCACAAUGGGCGAAAGCCUGAUGCAGCGACGCCGCGUGAGGGAUGACAGGCCUUCGGGUUGUAAACCUCUUUCAGUAGGGAAGAAGCGAAAGUGACGGUACCUGCAGAAGAAGCGCCGGCUAACUACGUGCCAGCAGCCGCGGUAAUACGUAGGGCGCAAGCGUUAUCCGGAAUUAUUGGGCGUAAAGAGCUCGUAGGCGGUUUGUCGCGUCUGCCGUGAAAGUCCGGGGCUCAACUCCGGAUCUGCGGUGGGUACGGGCAGACUAGAGUGAUGUAGGGGAGACUGGAAUUCCUGGUGUAGCGGUGAAAUGCGCAGAUAUCAGGAGGAACACCGAUGGCGAAGGCAGGUCUCUGGGCAUUAACUGACGCUGAGGAGCGAAAGCAUGGGGAGCGAACAGGAUUAGAUACCCUGGUAGUCCAUGCCGUAAACGUUGGGCACUAGGUGUGGGGGACAUUCCACGUUUUCCGCGCCGUAGCUAACGCAUUAAGUGCCCCGCCUGGGGAGUACGGCCGCAAGGCUAAAACUCAAAGGAAUUGACGGGGGCCCGCACAAGCGGCGGAGCAUGCGGAUUAAUUCGAUGCAACGCGAAGAACCUUACCAAGGCUUGACAUGAACCGGAAAGACCUGGAAACAGGUGCCCCGCUUGCGGUCGGUUUACAGGUGGUGCAUGGUUGUCGUCAGCUCGUGUCGUGAGAUGUUGGGUUAAGUCCCGCAACGAGCGCAACCCUCGUUCUAUGUUGCCAGCACGUGAUGGUGGG
rnacentral:rRNA from 1 species